AUGACCCUAGGGAGAUCUUCGUCGAGGUUGUCGCCGCCGCCGAUGUCGCCUGCCCAAGGUGAGAUCCUAGGGCAUGUCUCCUCCUCUCCUUGCAGCACUAUGCUCUGUCGCGAGGCUGGCGGGUGGGUCGAUGGACGGAGAGGAAACGUAUGGUGUCGUCGAUCCGUCCUGCAUGUGGAUUCACUGGAUGCGUCUUGGUGGAAUUUGGUGGUUCUCAAUCUUGGUCUUCUUUUGUAUGCCGGAUACACAACCGGUUCUCGAAGUAAUGAGUUUGCUGCUGCUUCAAGCCAAGUGCACCUCUGUAGUCUUGCUGAAGAAAUAGGAGGAGAAGUUGAAUGUAUAAGGUGUCGUGGCCGGAGGCCACAUGGACCCCACCUCCACCGCAGGGGCGACGUGUAUUUCCUCUUGCUUCACCGCCUUAUAGCCAAGCAAACCAGGAGUGACCUCCUCUCCUACUACACCAGCGGCCUUCACUGGCUCUGGAGACAUGGUGGCCAUUGA
rnacentral:rRNA from 1 species